UACAGAGGGUGCAAACGUUGUUCGGAAUUACUGGGCAUAAAGCGUACGUAGGCUGUUGCGUAAGUGUGAAGUGAAAUCCCACGGCUCACCCGUGGAACUGCUUUGCAAACUGCGUGACUAGAGGAUGGUAGGGGACAGCGGAACUCCUGGUGGAGCGGUGAAAUGCGUAGAUAUCAGGAGGAACACCGGUGGCGAAGGCGGCUGUCUGGUCCAUUUCUGACGCUGAGGUACGAAAGCUAGGGUAGCGAACGGG
rnacentral:rRNA from 1 species